AUUGCUCUCUCCUCUAAACAUAGUUCCAAGUAGUUUGCUCAGCAUUGGGUGAUUGAUCCUAUGUGGAGGGAGCUUUGCUCGGUGUGGAGGGGUGAGGACCACACAGGAGUAAGAGACGCCGUCCACUUGGGGAAAUAGGACGUAGGCCAGAGAGUGCACUUGAAAGAAAGCAGGUUAACAACGCCACAGUCUGGGCGUCUACAUCUGGCCUCCCGGACACAGCCUCCAGUGUCCAGCUCUGAUGGAUGUUGUGAUUGGAUUCUAGGGAAAGCAGAAGCAAAACAAGCGGACCACCAUGUUCUUCCAGUUCUGCAAUGCGGAUUCAGGGAUAUUGCUGUGCACAGACGUGGCAGCUAGAGGGCUGGAUAUUCCUGAAGUCGACUGGAUUGUGCAGUAUGACCCUCCAGAUGACCCCAAGGUAACUGGCAUCCUUGGGGUUUCUCCAGAGUGGCUCUCACUAAGGACCGUGCUUACUCUCCACGCUCUCUGAGGAAUGGCACAUUUCACAUUGAGAGGUGUCUCCCUUGGUCGUUCGGUCAUGUUUUACUGUGCAGCCAUUGCCACGUUUCUCUGCUGCUGAUAAUAUUUAGGGCGUUUGCAGGACUCACAACGGGUGUGCACAGAGAUGUGAGAGGCGUCAGUGGGACUUCAGUUAGGAACGUUACAGGCUUGGAAUGAUGUGUUAGGAACAGUAGGUGUCAGAAGGAAAUACAGUUUGCUUACAGAGAUAGGUAAGAUUCUGUAGCAUAUGUGGUAAAAUAAGUUACAUUAAGUAUUUUAAACAAACAAUAGAUUAUGUAAAUUAUCAUCCAGCAUUUAAACACGUUUCAAAAAGCCGUUUUGAAGAUGAAGCACACUUAGUAGUCAUUUUAUCAGAUCAUAGAGUUAAUGUGAGUAUCGUGUCCAGCUUUCCUUCGGCCUCGGUCACUGCCCUGUUACCUUUUGGGGAUGGUGCAAGCGGAAGGAAUGGUGGGCCAGCUUUGGGGAACGUGGUGAUGGUCUGUGUGGCACAGCCCUGGAGGCGCAGCACUGCCUCAUCCGGAUGUGCUGACACACUCUGUCCACUACCGUGCAAGUCCCGGGAAUGCAGCCCGCCACUGGUUCUGUGGAGGUCCGUGUGUAACUCAAGUUUUCUCUCUUCACCAAAGGAGGCCUCUUUGUUGCUAGAUCUUAUAAACAUUUGUCAGGCCUUCUUUUUUCUGACUUUUGCCUCCUCUUUGGCCUCCCUGGCACAGUCUUGCCAAGUAGAUUUUCCUCCACUGUGCAGCUAGCUACAUUUCCCCAAAGUUGCCCUACAGCCUUUGCCCGUUUUCUCUAGAAUGCCCUUUUCCUGGUUCUCUGGAUUGCUCUGGUUUCAGCUAGCUGUUGCCUCUUCUGGGAAGCCAGCGCUGAUCUCCUGCCCUCCCUCCUGUUCCCACAGCACAAGGGCUCAUCGAGUUGUCGUCUUAUCACUUACCUGUGUCCCCGGCAAGACUGCAAGCUUUCUGAGGGUGGGCCCAGGACGUGGGCUGCAUCCCCCCAACCCCCAGCACGCAGCACAGGUUCCAUUAAGUGAGUUUGAGUUUUCCUGGUCCAAAAUUUCUGACAUUCAGUCUCAGGUAUGCUCUUCGUCCCAGCCUCGGCUUCGUCCCAGCACUGACCGUGUGGUGUUUCAGCAGUGGUCAUUGUCCUCCACAUCUCCUUUUUCAUCAAAUGAGAAAUUUGGACUGAGUGAUCUUUUAGGUUUCUUGCUGUGCUGGUUACCACAUUCAUGUACUCUCUACCUUGUUCUCGUCAAUAACUUCCAAGAACUUUGUCAUUAUUCUUACUGCAGCUUGAUUGCAUAUAUUACAAAGCUUAGAGCAAGUGUUUUUUACAGGAUGGUUUUGUUCUAAUAUGUACACAAUCUGAUUGAAAAGAACUACUUCCUUCAUAAGUCAGCCCAGGAAGCAUACAAAUCGCACAUUCGAGCAUACGAUUCCCACUCUCUGAAACAGAUCUUUAAUGUGAAUAACUUGAAUUUGCCUCAGGUUGCUCUGUCAUUUGGUUUCAAGGUGCCUCCUUUUGUUGAUCUGAACGUGAACAGCAAUGAAGGCAAGCUUAAAAAGGGGAGGCGGUGGCGGAUUCGGCUACCAGAAAACCAGGAAAGUUGAGAAAUCCAAAAUCUUCAAGCACAUCAGCAGGAAAUCGUCGGACAGCAGGCAGUUCUCUCACUCAGGACGCCCUGGCCUGCCUUCCUUCGUGUCCUGAAAUGCAGUGCUGUCCUGCUCUCUGCAAGGAGUGUCUGUAACCAGGCUUUGGACCGUUCUCACGAGGGCGGAAGUGGACUUGGGUUGCAAGCACGCAGUGCUGUCGUUCCCACAGCUCUCUUUUCUCUUGGGAAUACAAAACGGAGCUCAGCUUUUCUCGAUUGCCCAGCGGUAAAGCAAGGGAUCUUCUUGGUCUUUGUUAUGAUGAUAGGGUAUUUUUAAGUUUCACCCCCCCCCCAUUUGUCACUGUUUUACUGUAGUUCUUUUGUGCCUUUCCUUCCUGGUGUCUGGAGUCUUGUGGCGUGCAUUGCUGCGCCAGCCUGCUGUACAGGCCGAUGACCCAGCGCGCUGGUGGCAACACCGAAAACUGUCUCGGUUGCUCUUUGCUCUUGGCUGCUUCUCGGACCUUCACAGUGGUUCCUGACCCUGCUGCAAAUGCCGCCACGCCACAGGGCAGCGAGCUCGGGGGACGCCUAAGAAGCCACCUUGGGCUAAGGUGGCAUCGGUUUUUAUAUACGCCAGGUUUUAAAACCAUGAGCAUUUCUCAACUUUUUUUAACAUCGAGAAAUGUGGGUUAUUUGUCAUAGUUUGAAUGAAGCGCCCCUAGCAGUCCUAACAUUUGAGAGGGGGCAGAAUCGGAUGUAUUGAGCCUCAUUUAUACCAAUAUAGGCGUAAUAUUCUGGUUUUUGUUUGGUAACUUGGCAGAGACUUUAAAAAAAAGCAGUCACAAAGAGUGGUGAUGCUCCUCAUUUGAAUUUGUCUCCAGUGGUUUGGACUGGGCGAGCCCUCCUAACUGCAGUUAUUAGAAGGCGGGGCCGACUGUCAGCAGACUCAAGGCCCGGCCAGCCGACGGUGCUGAGCGCACACAAUGC